UAGGGAAUUUUGGGCAAUGGGCGAAAGCCUGACCCAGCAACGCCGCGUGUGGGAUGAAGGCCCUCGGGUCGUAAACCACUGUCAGGAGGAAAGAAAAGUCGGCCGGAUAAUACUCGGUCGACCUGACGGUACCUCCAAAGGAAGCACCGGCUAACUCCGUGCCAGCAGCCGCGGUAAUACGGAGGGUGCAAGCGUUGUUCGGAAUUACUGGGCGUAAAGGGGCGCGUAGGCGGUCCUGUCAGUCCCUUGUGAAAUCCCCCGGCUCAACUGGGGAACUGCAAGGGAUACAGCAGGGCUUGAGUUCGGGAGAGGGAAGCGGAAUUCCGGGUGUAGCGGUGAAAUGCGUAGAUAUCCGGAGGAACAC
rnacentral:rRNA from 1 species